rnacentral:rRNA from 1 species
GGGGAAUAUUGGGCAAUGGGCGCAAGCCUGACCCAGCAACGCCGCGUGAAGGAAGAAGGCUUUCGGGUUGUAAACUUCUUUUAAGAGGGAAGAGCAGAAGACGGUACCUCUAGAAUAAGCCACGGCUAACUACGUGCCAGCAGCCGCGGUAAUACGUAGGUGGCAAGCGUUGUCCGGAUUUACUGGGUGUAAAGGGCGUGCAGCCGGGUCUGCAAGUCAGAUGUGAAAUCCAUGGGCUCAACCCAUGAACUGCAUUUGAAACUGUAGAUCUUGAGUGUCGGAGGGGCAAUCGGAAUUCCUAGUGUAGCGGUGAAAUGCGUAGAUAUUAGGAGGAACACCAGUGGCGAAGGCGGCCUACUGGGCACCAACUGACGCUGAGGCUCGAAAGUGUGGGUAGCAAACAGGAUUAGAUACCCUGGUAGUCCACACCGUAAACGAUGAUUACUAGGUGUUGGAGGAUUGACCCCUUCAGUGCCGCAGUUAACACAAUAAGUAAUCCACCUGGGGAGUACGACCGCAAGGUUGAAACUCAAAGGAAUUGACGGGGGCCCGCACAAGCAGUGGAGUAUGUGGUUUAAUUCGACGCAACGCGAAGAACCUUACCAAGUCUUGACAUCCUGCGACGCGCAUAGAAAUAUGUGUUUCCUUCGGGACGCAGAGACAGGUGGUGCAUGGUUGUCGUCAGCUCGUGUCGUGAGAUGUUGGGUUAAGUCCCGCAACGAGCGCAACCCUUACUGUCAGUUACUACGCAAGAGGACUCUGGCAGGACUGCCGUUGACAAAACGGAGGAAGGUGGGGAUGACGUCAAAUCAUCAUGCCCUUUAUGACUUGGGCUACACACGUACUACAAUGGCGUUAAACAAAGAGAAGCAAGACCGCGAGGUGGAGCAAAACUCAGAAACAACGUCCCAGUUCGGACUGCAGGCUGCAACUCGCCUGCACGAAGUCGGAAUUGCUAGUAAUCGUGGAUCAGCAUGCCACGGUGAAUACGUUCCCG